rnacentral:rRNA from 1 species
UACGUAGGGUGCAGGCGUUAAUCGGAAUUACUGGGCGUAAAGCGUGCGCAGGCGGUUUGCUAAGACAGGUGUGAAAUCCCCGGGCUUAACCUGGGAACUGCGCUUGUUACUGGCAAGCUGGAGUGUGGCAGAGGGGGGUGGAAUUCCACGUGUAGCAGUGAAAUGCGUAGAGAUGUGGAGGAACACCGAUGGCGAAGGCAGCCCCCUGGGCUAACACUGACUCUCAUGCACGAAAGCGUGGGGAGCAAACAGG